GUGUGGAGAUGGAGUCCCCAGCUCAGCUCCUCUGCCUUCUCCUAUUCUUGCUCCCAGGUUCACAAGGGGGAAUUGUUCUGACUCAAUCCCCAGCUUCUGUGUCUGUGUCUCUGGGAGAGAGAGUCACCAUCAAGUGCAAGGCCAGUCAGAGCCUCUUACACAGUGAUGGGAAAACUUACCUCCACUGGUAUCAGCAUAAACAAGGAGAACUUAUUAAAGCACUGAUCUACAGAGUUUCCAAUCUGCACUCUGGGGUUCCCUCUCGAUUCAGUGGCAGUGGGUCUGGGACAGAUUUCACCCUCACAAUCAGCAGUCUGGAGCCUGAGGAUGUUGCAGAGUAUGUCUGUGGGUGCUGGCCCCUACACAGUGCUCUAGUCCCUAACAAAAACCUCCCCAACUCAUUUAGCCUCUAAUGUCAGGGGAAUAACUGUGUCCCCAGAGUCCUAGGCUCAGAGCAGCUGCUUUUCUAGAGGUGAAGAAAAGACUUCUUUCAGCCCUCUCCUUA